CCUACGGGUGGCAGCAGUGGGGAAUUUUGCGCAAUGCUCGUAAGAGUGACGCAGCGACGCCGCGUGAAUGACUAAGGCCUUAGGGUCGUAAAGUUCUUUCGACAGGGAAGAAAAUGCCUAUAAGUAACUGUGUAUGUAUUGACGGUACCUGUAUAAUCAGCUCCGGCUAACUCCGUGCCAGCAGCCGCGGUGAUACGGAGGGGGCGAGCGUUGUUGGGUGUGUCUGGGCGUUAAGAGGACGGAGGAGGUGUUGUAAGUCAUUAGUCAAAGACUAGAGCUCAACUUUAGUAAGGCUAGUGAUACUAUAAUACUAGAGUAUCAGAGAGGAUUGCAGAAUUCCUGGUGUAGCGGUGAAAUGCGUAGAUAUCAGGAGGAAUACCGUUAGCGAAGGCGGCAAUCUGGCUGGAAACUGACGCUGAGGUGCGAAAGCGUGGGUAGCAAACAGGAUUAGAUACCCCGGUAGUC
rnacentral:rRNA from 1 species